GAUAGGAGUUGCUACUUAGUAGAAAUGCAUGUAUUCAUGUUUGUAUUAUCAUGCUCAUUUUGUUAAGAUCAUCUACCUAAUCAUCUCUAUUCUUUGUCAAUUGGUUAGCACUUGGUAAAGAUUAUAGGCUUUAAAUUUUAUAUCAUAUGUUAGAGUAGUAGUCAGAUACUAGAGCUUAUCAUUUCUUUGGAUUCUUGUGACAUCUACCGAUCUACCUAAGUUUUUUUAUGCUUGAUAUUUGUUAAUUAUCAUGAUUGUUAUUCUUUUGUAGUAUUAUUAUUGUUGGAUGUGCAGUUUACAAAUUCAAUGUUUUACAUUAAAUCAAUUUUUUUUUAUUAUUCUGACAAAAUUUUGCAGAGUAGCACUGACAAAGAGCUCAAAUCAGGUAGUAAUAACAAUUAUAACUACUAACCUUAAUUUCUAUUUUUAUGAAGUUUUUUUAUUUUUAUAUAAUGGAAGCUAAAUUGGUACAUGAUGAAUGUAGUAUUACUUAUUUUUUGAAAUUUUCAGUUAAAAAGAGAGGUCGUAGAUGAUACGGAGUAUCAAGGCUUUGAUGUGAUUGGAAGAUAAAUCUAAUUUGGUUUACUCUCGGUCUUUAAAUUUGGCUCAAACUUUUUUUGGUUUUUCUUUUAUUGAUUAGUCUUACUGUCCUAUAGAUAGUGUGGAAUUUAGAAAGGAUGUAAUAUUGUAACGUUGUUGCUGGGUUUUAGCAGACUUGAAAUUUAAUAAUUCAUUCAAAAUUUAUUAUAA